UACGUAGGGGGCAAGCGUUGUCCGGAAUUACUGGGCGUAAAGGGCGCGUAGGCGGCCUUCUAAGUCGAACGUGAAAUCCCCGGGCUCAACCCGGGAACUGCGUCUGAUACUGGGAGGCUUGAGUAUGGGAGAGGGAUGUAGAAUUCCAGGUGUAGCGGUGAAAUGCGUAGAUAUCUGGAGGAAUACCGGUGGCGAAGGCGGCAUCCUGGACCAUUACUGACGCUGAGGCGCGAAAGCUAGGGGAGCAAACGGG
rnacentral:rRNA from 1 species